rnacentral:rRNA from 1 species
CAGAGGUCCCAAGCGUUGUUCGGAUUCACUGGGCGUAAAGGGUGCGUAGGCGGUCGGGUAAGUCUGACGUGAAAUCUCCGAGCCUAACUCGGAAACUGCGUCGGAUACUAUUCGGCUAGAGGAAUGGAGGGGAGACUGGAAUACUUGGUGUAGCAGUGAAAUGCGUAGAUAUCAAGUGGAACACCAGUGGCGAAGGCGAGUCUCUGGACAUUUCCUGACGCUGAGGCACGAAAGCCAGGGGAGCAAACGGGAUUAGAUACCCCGGUAGUCCUGGCCCUAAACGGUGCACGUUUGCUGUAAGAGGAAUCGACCCCUUUUGUGGCGAAGCUAACGCGUUAAACGUGCCGCCUGGGAAGUACGGCCGCAAGGUUA